UACGGAGGGAGCUAGUGUUACUCGUCGUAAUGGGCGUAAAGGGAGCGUAGGUGCUUUGUAAGUACUUGGUGAAAGACUGGUAAUUAGCAUCUUAACUGCGUUUAUACUGCAAAGCUUGAGUACCGAGCAAGAUGAGCGGAACACUGUGGAGACGUGAAAUGCUGCGAUACUGUGACAACGACAUUGCGAAGGCGGCCAUCAGCCGGUUAACUGACACUGAGGCUCUAAAGCUGGGGAGCGAAAAGG
rnacentral:misc_RNA from 1 species